GUAUUAGAUUGAGAAGUUGACAAUAAUUAAAUUGAGUUAAAAUUGACAAUUACUGAAUAAGAUAAGUGAAAUGUGUUGAGCGUGUGUAUUCUAGUAGCAGCGAGAUUAGCCCUUUGCUUUGACGUUUCACGUUGAAGCCGGAGCGAUUAGAGUGUAUGUGUGGAGGGUGAAUUAAUAAACGAGAUGAAAUGAAAGACGAAGUGGGAAAGAAUGAUAGAAAAGGGAGAGCGAUAUUCAUUUGCACGCGGGUUCGGUUCGGGCUCUCCACUUGCAACGCAACACUGCGUUUUCAGUCUUGAGAAUAAUUUCGGAACGAUAGGUUCGGUUUGCGUAAUACGCGAGUCUUCAAGCAUUUGCCGGAUUCGUUUACGACAUGGCGCAGUCGGUUGGAGAACAGAUGCCAUCGUUUUGUGCCGAUUAAGGGAAAAUGGCUGCGAACACCAAACACCGUAGUGUGGUUGUUGGAUUGGGGAUACUAAUUUGCCGCGAAUGAACACCUAUUGAUAGCAGUCAUUGCUGAACAGGUUCUAAAACAUUUUUUAAAGUACUCUGGAAGAUUCCGUACACGGAUGUUCGUUAUCCGGGGGAAAUAUGUCAUUCAGGGCUUUUAUUAUCGGCUUCCGGGAAUCACCAUCAAUGGACCCUGAACGAACAGCAUCUAUUGCUUCGUAGGUGAAAGAAAAAAAAAACGGGUGAAGAGCCAUUAGAAGAGCAGGACGAACGACGCAGGAAAUGUGUUUUUUUUUAGUGUAGAAAAAGAUUAUGUCAGUGAUGGAUGUCGUUGAAAAUCAAUAAAAAAUGGAAGUGAAAAGGAGUUUAAUAAAAAAUAAAGUGUUUGUGUUUUGUUUUCUUCCAAAACUAUAAGGGGUCGGAAUCUAAUGAGAUAACGAUAUGGUACUAGAAAGCCUGAGGCACGAUUUCAGGGUUGCUUUUCAAGGUCGUCUCAUGAUGUAGCCAGGAUGUCCCGGGCCCGAUCCAUCUGACAAGCCAAUCGAGGCCUCUGUCAUCAUAGAAGAUGGUGUCUCCAUCCAUGUCGAUAACCUGGUACGCGCACUAAACAAGACAAACUGGAGAGAGAAAAAAGUUGGUGUGAUUUCAUGGCAUGCUGGCUUAUUCAAUGAAAACAAAGUGACCAGGUGUCCAA